rnacentral:rRNA from 1 species
AGAGUUUGAUCCUGGCUCAGAACGAACGCUGGCGGCAGGCUUAACACAUGCAAGUCGAACGCCCCGCAAGGGGAGUGGCAGACGGGUGAGUAACGCGUGGGAACAUACCCUUUCCUGCGGAAUAGCUCCGGGAAACUGGAAUUAAUACCGCAUACGCCCUACGGGGGAAAGAUUUAUCGGGGAAGGAUUGGCCCGCGUUGGAUUAGCUAGUUGGUGGGGUAAAGGCCUACCAAGGCGACGAUCCAUAGCUGGUCUGAGAGGAUGAUCAGCCACAUUGGGACUGAGACACGGCCCAAACUCCUACGGGAGGCAGCAGUGGGGAAUAUUGGACAAUGGGCGCAAGCCUGAUCCAGCCAUGCCGCGUGAGUGAUGAAGGCCUUAGGGUUGUAAAGCUCUUUCACCGGAGAAGAUAAUGACGGUAUCCGGAGAAGAAGCCCCGGCUAACUUCGUGCCAGCAGCCGCGGUAAUACGAAGGGGGCUAGCGUUGUUCGGAAUUACUGGGCGUAAAGCGCACGUAGGCGGAUAUUUAAGUCAGGGGUGAAAUCCCAGAGCUCAACUCUGGAACUGCCUUUGAUACUGGGUAUCUUGAGUAUGGAAGAGGUAAGUGGAAUUCCGAGUGUAGAGGUGAAAUUCGUAGAUAUUCGGAGGAACACCAGUGGCGAAGGCGGCUUACUGGUCCAUUACUGACGCUGAGGUGCGAA